GCUGGCGGCGUGCUUAACACAUGCAAGUCGAGCGGUAAGGCCCUUCGGGGUACACGAGCGGCGAACGGGUGAGUAACACGUGAGCAACCUGCCCCUGACUCCGGGAUAAGCCGGGGAAACCCGGUCUAAUACCGGAUAGGGACGCCUCGUCGCAUGGCGGGGUGUGGAAAGGUUUUUUCCGGUCAGGGAGGGGCUCGCGGCCUAUCAGCUUGUUGGUGGGGUGAAGGCCUACCAAGGCGAUUACGGGUAGCCGGCCUGAGAGGGCGACCGGCCACACUGGGACUGAGACACGGCCCAGACUCCUACGGGAGGCAGCAGUGGGGAAUAUUGCGCAAUGGGCGGAAGCCUGACGCAGCGACGCCGCGUGGGGGAUGACGGCCUUCGGGUUGUAAACCUCUUUUACCACCGACGCAGGCCCGCGCUUCUGUGCGGGUUGACGGUAGGUGGGGAAUAAGGACCGGCCAACUACGUGCCAGCAGCCGCGGUAAUACGUAGGGUCCGAGCGUUGUCCGGAAUUAUUGGGCGUAAAGAGCUCGUAGGUGGUGUGUCGCGUCUGCUGUGUAAGUCCGGGGCUUAACUCCGGUUUUGCAGUGGAUACGGGCAUGCUAGAGGUAGGCAGGGGAGACUGGAAUUCCUGGUGUAGCGGUGAAAUGCGCAGAUAUCAGGAGGAACACCGGUGGCGAAGGCGGGUCUCUGGGCC
rnacentral:rRNA from 1 species